AUUUCCUUUAUAUAAACUGUAAUGAUGUAGAACUAUGUAAUGUAUUUAUUGAUGAAUUAAUGUUGAACACAACUAGUGUGUUUUUCAGCAAGUCAGUAAACUUCAAACAACUCUUGAGUGUGGGGGAGGGGCGCGCUUCAAUCAAGCCACAUGCAAGGAUGCGUUCAUGGCAGAAGGAAUUUUUUGCUUUCUUCAUUGAGACUUAUUUAUGCUUAAAAGCAGUAUGGUUUGAGUUUCAAAUGUUGGACUAAUUAUUUAAUGAACCAUUGUUAAACAUAAUCCUACUAGUUUACUGAAGAGUGUGGAUUGUAAUCAGUAGCUUAGUCCAUGAAGUGUCACAACAUUGACAUCCGAGUGGACGUGAAUGCAUCACCAGAAAGUGCGAGCCCGCAGAUGCACAUCAACACCACUGAAGCGGUGUGAAGAACAACUAACGCAAACAAAACAAGAAAACCACAAACAAAUCUUACAACUAAUCAAGAUGGACGGUGUUAUAGAUGGCUCUUUAUCUGAAUCCAGCAAUGAUCCAGAAAGUGACUACAUGCCGUCAAUGUCUGAUAGUUCAUCCUCAACAGUGGCACCUGGUCAAGAGUCACAAGUCAGUGGAAGUCAGGCUCAAAACUCAGAUGCCUGUUCAAGAUUCUGAUGAAGAACCGGACAUUCUGACUCAAAAGACCUCAACUCCAAGACCAUCAGAUCAGGCCUGCUGAAAAAGACUGAGAAAACAGGGAGCGAUUGACAGUACCCCCAAAAGAAGUUCCAUGGUAGGCCUUGGUGUUGUGAAAAAAAGACGACAGUACGGCGACAGCACAUCACUCUGAAUAGAGUUCCUGGUAAAGAACUUAGUCUCAAGGCUCUUGAUGCAGAACUGAUACUCGCCACUGGAGAGAUGUUAAGAACCAAAUCUACAAUUCCAUCACAUCCCAAAAAAGUCAAGUUUGAGUUUAUCAGUCUAUUGUCUAAAAAGUGUUAGGUAACACUUUAAAAGUGGUCAAGGAGGUUCUUUGCCUCACUCUAUGACUAUUUCACUUCAUGCUAAACUGCUGUUGAUGCACUUAACAGUUGAUGAAUCUGUUAUAGAUCAGUUGAUUACCUCAUAUUGAUAAUAAUGGCACUUUUUGAUGACACUAAUUAACCAUGACCACGUGUAUUGAUGACACUUAUUGAUAAUAAUAAUGAUGGCAAUUCUUAUUGGUAAUAGCGUUGAUAAUGAGACUUGAUACUGACACCGCUUAUUGAUAAAGACCCUAAUUCACAAUGGCACUCAUUGAUAAUUACACUUAUUAAUACAGACUACUUGACGACGAUGACACUUAUUGAAAAUAAUGAGACUCAUUGAUAAUAUUGAUGCAUUGAUUUAGACACUAAUUGACAAUGACACUAAUUGAUAAUGACCCUUUUUGAUGAUGGUUAUUUAUAUUGAUAAUAGCACUUGACAUAAUGACACCUAUUGAUAAUGACAUUUAUUUGUGAUUACGACACUUAGUGAUACUAGCAUCGCUUAUUGAUAAUGACACUACCGUAUUUUUCAGACUAUAAGUCGACGUUUUUUUCAUAGUUUGGCCGUGGGUGCGACUUAUACUCCGGAGCGACUUAUGUGUGAAAUGAUUAACACAUUACCGUAAAAUAUCAAAUAAUAUUAUUUAUCUCAUUCACGUGAGCGACGAAGCAAAUGGCAGCCAUCAUCACACACACGUCAGCAAUCGUCACUCACAUGCCAACCAAUAAGAAUUCGGUUGGGGCGGGCCAUGGCAGAAGUGCAUUGUGGGCCAUGAUAUGCUAACUGCUAUAUGCUAUACGCUACUGCCAGAGCUAUUAAAAUGGAUCACAUCAACAUUGGCGGUAACUUAUAAAAACUGAGAAGUGCUGAACUAAAAUGGCACCGAAAAGGAAAUCAUAUACUGCAGAUUACAAGCUGGACGUAGUUAAAUAUGCUGCAGAAAACUGCGAUCGAGCAGCAGAAAGAAAGGACGCUAGCGGCGCAUACCAGGAGCGACACCGGGGAGGAAGAUUUCAUGGGAUUUAGCGAUCGGGAGUGACAGAUUGUUUGGUAAACGUAUAGCAUGUUCUAUAUGUUAUAGUUAUUUGAAUGACUCUUACCAUAAUAUGUUACGUUAACAUACCAGUUGGUUAUUUAUGCGUCAUAUAACGUACACUUAUUCCGCCUGUUGUUCACUAUUCUUGAUUUAUUUUAAAUUGCCUUUCAAAUGUCUAUUCUUGCUGUUGGCUUUUAUCAAAUACAUUUCCCCCAAAAAUGCGACUUAUACUCCAGUGCGACGUAUAUAUGUUUUUUUCCUUCUUUAUUAUGCAUUUUCGGCCGGUGCGACAUAUACUCCGUAGCGACUUACACUCCGAAAAAUACGGUAAUAGACGAUGAAUCUUAUUGAUAAUGAUGCUUAUGGAUGAUGACGAUAAUGACACUUAACAAUAAUGAUGUUAUUACUAAUGGCACUUAUUGAUAUUGAUGAUGACAUUGAUGAUCAAUCUUUCUAUUCAUUAUAGUUAGAGUAUUGUGGACCAACUUAUCUUCUAUUAGAUGAUCUAUGCUGCUUUAUAAUAAAAUAAUUUUGCUAUCAAUUUGUGUAAAAUAUUUUGUUAAUACUUACAUGUGUUUGAAAAUUCUGGGAAAUCGUCAUGAAUUACAUUUUUUUUUCAAAUAUACAUAUCAAUCAAUAAUAGUAUUAGAUUAGAUUUUUUUCAGUUAGAAUAACGCAAACCUGAUAUGAUAUGCUUACCUAGAAAAGGCCUAAAGCUGCACUUGAGUACAGUAAAAACAGUAAUUGAGUAAUAAUGUGUUACUUAAAACUUAAAAGCAAAUUAAAUGUAAGGUAGCAGCUUGAAAGUCAAAUCCCAGAAAUAAUAGCUGUAGUACAGUUGUACGAGCAGUAGUAGGGUAAUACUAUAAGUAAAAUAAGUUGUUAGUGUAGCUGUGAAAUGUCGUAGAAGUAAUAUUAUCAUUU